GGAAGAAUACUCAAGUGGUUGAAGAGGUAAGCUUGGAAAGCAUAUAGGUCAAAAAAGAGACGCAAGGGUUCGAAUCCCUUUUCUUCCGCCA
rnacentral:tRNA from 1 species